GCUUACGGCCAUACCAACCUGGCUAUGCCCGAUCUCGUCUGAUCUCGGAAGCUAAGCAGGUUUGGGCCUGGUUUAGUACUUGGAUGGGAGACCGCCUGGGAAUACCAGGUGCUGUAAGCU
rnacentral:rRNA from 1 species